UCGUUGGUUUGUCCCAGCCAAGGUAAUGACUAAGGGAGACAGUCGGGGGCAUCUGUACUGCAGCGCUAGAGGUGAAAUUCUUGGACCGUUGCAAGACAAACGACAGCGAAAGCAUUUGCCAAGUAUGUUUUCAUUAAUCAAGAACGAAAGUUAGAGGUUCGAAGGCGAUCAGAUACCGCCGUAGUUCUAACCAUAAACGAUGCCAACCAGCAAUCUAUCGAGCGUUAUAUCCAUGACCCGAUAGGCAGCUUCUGGGAAACCAAAGUCUUUGGGUUCCGGGGGAAGUAUGGUUGCAAAGCUGAAACUUAAAGGAAUUGACGGAAGGGCACCACCAGGAGUGGAGCCUGCGGCUUAAUUUGACUCAACACGGGGAACCUCACCAGGCCCAGACACUGGAAGGAUUGACAGAAUGAGAGCUCUUUCUCGAUUCAGUGGGUGGUGGUGCAUGGCCGUUCUUAGUUGGUGGAGUGAUUUGUCUGGUUAAUUC
rnacentral:rRNA from 1 species